GGGCUGCAGUAUUUUGACUGUACAAAGGUAGCAUAAUCAAUAGUYUUUUAAUUGGUGACUUGUAUGAAAGAUUGGAUGAGAUAUMUACUGUCUUURAUUAAUUUAUAGAAWUUAAUUUUUUAGURAAAAAGCUAAAAUAAUUUUAAAAGACGAGAAGACCCUAUAGAGUUUAAUAAUUUAUUUAAUUAUUAKUAAUAUAUAAUUUUUAAAAUUAAAAUUAAAURGAUUAUUUUAUUGGGGUGAUAGAAAAAUUAAAUUAACUUUUUUUAAUUAUUUACAUUAAUUUAUGAUUAAAUGAUCCAUUUAUAAUGAUUAAAAGAAAAAAUUACCUUAGGGAUAACAGCGUAAUUUUUUUUUUUAGUUCAAAUAGGAAAAAAAGUUUGCGACCUCGA
rnacentral:rRNA from 1 species